CUGCAGGGAUGCUGCAACAGUUAUGUGAAAAGCAGUCAUAAGUCACUUUUUUCAGUGCUGUUGUAACUUUGAACAAUCAUUCAACGUAGUGUUGUAAGUAGAGUUUCUACCUGUAAUUGGUCAUAUGGUGUCUUUGGCCUGUCAGAGCAAACAUGUCUUGAUUUAGUUGUGUGUUUGGGAAUUUGGCCCUUGGGAUUGCUAAGUGAUCAGUGUGAAACAAAACUGCAUAUCCAGCUUUUGGGGAGAAGAAAAGAAAAGAAGACCUCUGAUAAUGACAAACAAAUAAGGUCCUUGGGCGUGAUCCAUUUCUUCGUAUCAGGCAUGAGGAACUUUCCUCUCCCUCUUCACUCUUUGGGGAAAAAAGGAAAUUCAAAUGAUGGCCCUUUUCCUGAACUGGUGAGCAGAUGGUUCGUGCUGAAUAGGAAAAAAAGUGUAUUUACAUUCUAAGCUGUGGGGCCAAACUCAAGUGGAAGUAUAUUUUAUCUUCAUCAAUAAAAUUAUUACCUUUUGGGUGUCUCUGCA